rnacentral:rRNA from 1 species
CACGUAAUUAGCCGGGACCUUAUUCGUAUAGUACUGUCAUUUUCUUCCUAUACAAAAGAUUUUUACAACCCGAAGGCCUUCUAAAUCACGCGGCGUCGCUGCAUCAGGGUUGCCCCCAUUGUGCAAAAUUCCCCGACUGCUGCCUCCCGUAGGAGUCUGGGCCGUGUCUCAGUCCCAAUGUGGCCGUACACUCUCUCAAGCCGGCUACUGAUCGUUGCCUUGGUGAGCUGUUAUCUCACCAACUAGCUAAUCAGACGCAAGUCCAUCUUACACCGCUAAACACUUUGACUUACUCUUCAUGCGAAGUUUAAAGUUUUAUAGGGUAUUAUUCUCCGUUUCCAGAGGCUAUCCCCUUGUGUAAGGCAGGUUACUCACGCGUUACUCACCCGUUCGCCACUAAUCCAUUUCAUUUCACCCCGAGGGAUCAAUGAAGUUUCAUCGUUCGACUUGCAUGUGUUAUGCACGCCGCCAGCGUUAUCUCGAGCACGGAUCAAACUC